GGCGGGCGGGUGAGUAACGCGUGAGGAACCUGCCUUUCAGAGGGGGACAACAGUUGGAAACGACUGCUAAUACCGCAUAACGCAUAGGAGUCGCAUGGCUCCAAUGCCAAAGAUUUAUCGCUGAAAGAUGGCCUCGCGUCCGAUUAGCUGGUUGGCGGGGUAACGGCCCACCAAGGCGACGAUCGGUAGGGGUUCUGAGAGGAAGGUCCCCCACAAUGGAACUGAGACACGGUCCAUACUCCUACGGGAGGCAGCAGUGAGGAAUAUUGGCCAAUGGGCGGAAGCCUGAACCAGCCAUGCCGCGUGCGGGAAGGAGGCCCUAUGGGCUGUGAACCGCUUUUGCGAGGGGGCAAUAAGGGCGUCGCGCACGUCCGAUGAGAGUACCUCGCGAAUAAGCAUCGGCUAACUCCGCGCCAGCAGCCGCGGUAAUACGGGGGAUGCGAGCGUUAUCCGGAUUCAUUGGGUUUAAAGGGUGCGUAGGCUGUGCGUCAAGUCAGGGGUGAAAUUCCCGCGCUCAACGCGGGGGCUGCCUUUGAUACUGUCGCGCUGGAGUGCGGAUGCCGCCGGAGGAAUGAGUGGUGUAGCGGUGAAAUGCUUAGAUAUCACUCAGAACACCGAUUGCGAAGGCAUCUGGCGAAUCCGUAACUGACGCUGAGGCACGAAAGCGUGGGGAUAGAACAGGGUUAGAUACCCUGGUAUUCCACGCCGUAAACGAUGAUGGCUAACCGCCGGCGACACACAGUCGGUGGCCAAGCGAAAGCGAUAAGCCAUCCACCUGGGGAGUACGUCGGCAACGAUGAAACUCAAAGGAAUUGACGGGGGCCCGCACAAGCGGAGGAACAUGUGGUUUAAUUCGAUGAUACGCGAGGAACCUUACCCGGGCUCGAACGGCAGGGGAAUCACCCAGAGAUGGGUGAGUCUUCGGACUCCUGUCGAGGUGCUGCAAGGUUGUCGUCAGCUCGUGCCGUGAGGUGUCGGCUCAAGUGCCAUAACGAGCGCAACCCUUGCCGCCAGUUGCCAUCAGGUGAAGCUGGGCACUCUGGCGGGACUGCCACCGCAAGGUGUGAGGAGGGGGGGAUGACGUCAAAUCAGCACGGCCCUUACGUCCGGGGCGACACACGUGUUACAAUGGCGGCCACAGAGGGAAGCUACCCCGCGAGGGGAUGCGGAUCUCGAAAAGCCGUCCCAGUUCGGACUGGAGUCUGCAACCCGACUCCACGAAGUUGGAUUCGCUAGUAAUCGCGCAUCAGCCAUGGCGCGGUGAAUACGUUCCCGGGCCUUGCACACACCGCCCGUCAAG
rnacentral:rRNA from 1 species